rnacentral:rRNA from 1 species
UACGUAGGUGGCAAGCGUUGUCCGGAAUCAUUGGGCGUAAAGCGCGUGUAGGCGGCUUGGUAAGUCCGCUCUGAAAGCCCGGGGCUCAACCCCGGGAGGCGGGUGGAUACUGUCAAACUCGAGUCCGGAAGAGGCGAGUGGAAUUCCUGGUGUAGCGGUGAAAUGCGCAGAUAUCAGGAGGAACACCAAUGGCGAAGGCAGCUCGCUGGGACGUGACUGACGCUGAGACGCGAAAGCGUGGGGAGCAAACAGG